rnacentral:rRNA from 1 species
UACGUAGGGUGCGAGCGUUAAUCGGAAUUACUGGGCGUAAAGCGUGCGCAGGCGGUUAUGUAAGACAGAGGUGAAAUCCCCGGGCUCAACCUGGGAACUGCCUUUGUGACUGCAUAGCUAGAGUACGGUAGAGGGGGGUGGAAUUCCGCGUGUAGCAGUGAAAUGCGUAGAUAUGCGGAGGAACACCGAUGGCGAAGGCAAUCCCCUGGACCUGUACUGACGCUCAUGCACGAAAGCGUGGGGAGCAAACAGG